rfam:Trichobilharzia regenti genome assembly, scaffold: TRE_scaffold0012241
GUACUGCUGAAUCAGAGUCCCAAACUAGGACGAAACAGCUGUCCAGUAC